CGAUAGCUCAGCUGGUAGAGCACUUCACUCGUAAUGAAGGGGUCGUGGGUUCGAGUCCCAUUC
rnacentral:tRNA from 1 species